CCUACGUGGGGCAGCAGUGAGGAAUAUUGGUCAAUGGGCGCGAGCCUGAACCAGCCAAGUAGCGUGAAGGAUGACUGCCCUACGGGUUGUAAACUUCUUUUAUAAAGGAAUAAAGUGAGGCACGUGUGCCUUUUUGUAUGUACUUUAUGAAUAAGGAUCGACUAACUCCGUGCCAGCAGCCGCGGUAAUACGGAGGAUCCGAGCGUUAUCCGGAUUUAUUGGGUUUAAAGGGAGCGUAGAUGGGUUGUUAAGUCAGUUGUGAAAGUUUGCGGCUCAACCGUAAAAUUGCAAUUGAUACUGGCAGUCUUGAGUACAGUUGAGGUAGGCGGAAUUCGUGGUGUAGCGGUGAAAUGCUUAGAUAUCACGAAGAACUCCGAUUGCGAAGGCAGCUUACUAAACUGCAACUGACAUUGAUGCUCGAAAGUGUGGGUAUCAAACAGGAUUAGAUACCCGAGUAGUC
rnacentral:rRNA from 1 species